ensembl:lncRNA
CUCUAGCCGUCUCUCUCUAUCCGUCUCUCUCUAUCCGUCUCUCUCUAUCCGUCUCUCUCUAUCCGUCUCUCUCUCCCGUCUCUCUCUGUUGUUCUCUAUCCGUCUUUCUCUUGCCGUCUCCUCUAGCCGUCUCUCUCUGUUGUUCUCUAUCCGUCUCUCUCUAGCCGUCUCCUCUAGCCGUCUCUGUUGUUCUCUAUCCGUCUCUCUCUGUUGUUCUCUAGCCGUCUCUCUCUGUUGUUCUCUAUCCGUCUCUCUCUGUUGUUCUCUAUCCGUCUCUCUCUAUCCGUAUCUCUCUAGCCGUCUCUCUCUGUUGUUCUCUAUCCGUCUCUCUCUAUCCGUAUCUCUCUAUCCGUCUCUCUCUGUUGUUCUCUAGCAGUCUCUCCUAGCCGUCUCUCUCUAUCCGUCUCUCUCUGUUGUUCUCUUUCCGUCUCUCUCUAGCCGUCUCUCUCUAGCCGUCUCUCUCUAUCCGUCUCUCUCUGUUGUUCUCUAUCCGUCUCUCUCUAGCCGUCUCUCUCUAUCCGUCUCUCCGUCUCUCUCUCUAUCCGUCUCUCUCUAUCCGUCUCUCUCUAUCCGUCUCUCUCUAUCCGUCUCUCUCUAUCCGUCUCUCUCUAUCCGUCUCUCUCUAGCCGUCUCUCUCUAGCCGUCUCUCUCUAGCCGUCUCUCUCUAUCCGUCUCUUUCUAUCCGUCUCUCUCUGUUGUUCUCUAGCAGUCUCUCUCUAUCCGUCUCUUUCUAUCCGUCUCUCUCUAUCCGUCUCUCUCUAGCCGUCUCUCUCUAUCCGUCUCUCUCUAUCCGUCUCUCUCUAUCCGUCUCUCUCUAUCCGUCUCUCUCUAUCCGUCUCUCUCUAUCCGUCUCUCUCUAUCCGUCUCUCUCUAUCCGUCUCUCUCUAGCCGUCUCUCUCUAUCCGUCUCUCUCUAUCCGUCUCUCUCUAUCCGUCUCUCUCUAUCCGUCUCUCUCUAUCCGUCUCUCUCUAGCCGUCUCUCUCUAUCCGUCUCUCUCUAUCCGUCUCUCUCUAGCCGUCUCUCUCUAUCCGUCUCUCUCUAGCCGUCUCUCUCUAUCCGUCUCUCUCUAUCCGUCUCUCUCUAGCCGUCUCUCUCUAGCCGUCUC